rnacentral:rRNA from 1 species
GACGUAGGGGCGAGCGUUGUCCGGAAUUACUGGGCGUAAAGAGCACGUAGGCGGGAACCUAAGUCAGGUGUGAAAGACCGUGGCUCAACCACGGGGUGGCAUUUGAAACUGGGUUUCUUGAGGGCAGGAGAGGAAAGCAGAAUUCCUGGUGUAGCGGUGAAAUGCGUAGAAAUCAGGAGGAAUACCAGUGGCGAAGGCGGCUUUCUGGACUGACCCUGACGCUGAGGUGCGAAAGCGUGGGUAGCAAACAGGAUUAGAUACCCCCGUAGUCCCUGAGCGGG